UACGAAGGGAGCUAGCGUUGUUCGGAAUCACUGGGCGUAAAGAGCGCGCAGGCGGUCGAUCAAGUCGAGUGUGAAAGCCCCCGGCUCAACUGGGGAGGGUCAUUCGAUACUGAUCGACUCGAAGGCAGGAGAGGGUAGUGGAAUUCCCGGUGUAGUGGUGAAAUGCGUAGAUAUCUGGAGGAACACCGGUGGCGAAGGCGGCGUCCUGGACCAACACUGACACUGAUGAGCGAAAGCCAGGGGAGCAAACGGG
rnacentral:rRNA from 1 species